UACGAAGGGGGCUAGCGUUGUUCGGAAUUACUGGGCGUAAAGGGCGCGUAGGCGGUGUGUCAAGUCAGGCGUGAAAGCCCCGGGCUCAACCUGGGAACCGCGCUUGAGACUGGCACGCUCGAGUUCGGGAGAGGAUGGUGGAAUUCCCAGUGUAGAGGUGAAAUUCGUAGAUAUUGGGAAGAACACCGAUGGCGAAGGCAGCCAUCUGGACCGACACUGACGCUGAUGCGCGAAAGCGUGGGGAGCAAACGGG
rnacentral:rRNA from 1 species